CCCCCUCUGCGGGGCUGAGGCGGCCUCCCGUGAGGGGGUCCCUGAGGCUUGCCCCCCCUCUCCCCCCACUGAGGGGGGUUUGUCGGGCUGGGCCCCCCCCUCAAAAGGGGUCUCUGAGGCUCCCCCCCCCACUGAGGGGGCCUGUGGGUCUGGGGCAGCUCGUAGCCAUGAGCGAGCUGAGCCCCUCAAGUUUUUAGAUUUAAAAAAAAAGUAACCCCAAAUCCACGUUUCCUGUGCUUUAAAAUGAAGCGCCACUAAUAUAGAGAUGCCUAUAUAGCAGCGUUUCAUUUUAAGCGUGGAUUUUGGGGGGGUUAGUUGGGUUUUUUUAGCCCCCAAAAUUGGGAUUUUUUUAUUGGCGGGGUCCCGGUUUCCUGGCGGUUACGCGGGGUGGGGCGGGCACCCCGGGGCCUUCCCUCGGUUUGGAGUUUGCCACCUUUGUUGAACGUCCCCGUGGGAGGCGCAGGCAGUCCCCACAGGACAGCUGUCCUUGCCCUUGCCAGGCCAGGCCAGGCCGGGCCCGGCUGGGGGUGAUGCCGGUGGAGCCAUGGAGAGGGUUCAGGACGGGACGGGAGCGGCGCAUCGGGAGAAGAGAGGACAGGGCACCCUGCCGGAGAGGUUGCACCCCAAUUUGCCGAAUCCUGCGCUUGCUUCCCAGGUCUUCCGAAGGUUCACGUCACGUCUUCCAGGUUCAGCGUGGACGCGGCGUUCUGCUUUGCCCCGGGAGAAGCUGCUGUGGUCGCAGUCUAACGAGGAGCUUUAGCUACGACGUGGCUUCGUUCACCUGCACCUGCACCUGCCUGCACCUUUCCAGCGGUGCUGUACUGACCGGGGUGCGUGAGCUAACACCGUGAAAACACACUGUUUUUACCCGCGUGUCCUUUGCACGUGCACCUUUACAGCAAGGGGGUAAACCGGGGGGUAAACAGGUGCAUUCAUGUUAGGCGCCUUGCAGUGUUUUAACUUCGCAGGCCUGGUUUAAGUGACAUAUUUUGCGUGGACAAUACUGUUGGUCAUUCUCACGUGUGUUCAGAGAGAGAGGCAAGGCUCUGAUCAUCUAACAUUUGAAAACUAUAACUCCCUUGGUCAGUAAUAUGUGGUGUAUAUAUGAAUAAUAAACUUCUUAAUGAAGACAA